rnacentral:lncRNA from 1 species
UGGCCAUGUGCUGUGCUUGCUGCUCGUCUGAGCAAAUGGAUUCAUUCUGUCAGUACUCAGUGUGAACCUAAUAUUCCUUGGUUCAUUAGCAAAGUCCUUGUGGUUUUCAUUGAAAUCUUUCCACUGCUGGCCAUCAGCUGGGUGCCGAAGCUUCCCAUCAUCUUUGUGCUCAUCAAAAGCAUGCCAGCUCAUAAGUUGGGCAUCCUCUGGGUUAGCAAACAAACACCUCAAUCGAUCGACCACAGGAAGGUACCACAUCACCAAAGCAGGAAUCUUUUUCUGCACAUAAUAGUCUACUUAAUCAUUUUCUUUAUCGGUGGGUUUUGAACUACUCUUCUGGGUCUUUUGUUGGGCCUUCUUUUGUUUUUUCCCUUAGGUAUAGAGGCAACACACUCUUCUUCUAUGUAGUCUUUAUUUGUCUUGUACCUACUUGCACCACACUUGGGACAGCUGUCCAAGUCCCUAUAAUCAUCGCCUUGAUAUAGGAUACAGUGAUUUCUACAAGGUUGGAUAUUCUCAACACCCAUUGUGAGUUGGCUGAUUAGCUUAUUUGCAUAAUAUGUGUUAGCAGGCACUUUGUUAUCUUUAGGAAGCAUGUCUACGAUAAUGCUCAAGAACGCAUCAAAGCCAGCAUCAGAAAGACCAUAUCUAGCUUUGCACACCAACAACUAUAGCAUAGACCGCAGCGUUGUGAACUCUUUGGUGCAACCCUUGGACUCAUCGUACAAAGGCUCUUCUGCUGCCUUCAUUAGGGCCUCCAUACCUUUCAUGAAGAACACUGAUGGAUCUUUCGCAUGACGACGCAAUAUUGCUUCUAGAAUUUUUGCAUCUUCCGCAGCCAUGUUAGUUUUGGUGUCAUCUUCAUUUCCUCCAGCAAAACCAUGAUCAGGAACAUUUGGCACAACAUGUUCAGUGGCUAGACCAUCGGUAUUAGGUUGCUGUGUCUCAUGUACGACUCAAACUCGUCAAAACCUACAGUUGUAUAAGGCGCAGAGCUACCCUCUCCAUGCUUUGUCUAAAUCAAAUAAUCUUUCAUAAAUCCUCGACGGACCAGAUGAGUAAGGAUUUGUUGAAUGUCAUUAGAUACAACAAGAUUUGUACAAUCCAUGCAUGGACAAUGUAUGUGCGUCUUUCUUGUUCUUGAAGCAUGGUUUUGAGCAGUAUCAAUAAACCUCUGGACCUUAGUUAUGUAUGAUGGAUCUAGUCUUGAUAAAUUAUACAUCCAAAAUGACCUCGCCAUCACUACCUGUAAAACACCAUUCAUACGAUCUAAGGGUUUACAAAGGAUUAUCUAGGGUUUAUUAGCUAGGGUUUAUGGUUAAGCUUGAGAUUAAAGGAAAAAACCUAAGUUACAUAAUUAAAAAAUAAUCUAAGUACAUAGCAUAAUUAUAGAAACACACAAUCAUACAUUCCUCUCUCUAAAAUUGAGAAGCAGUCAUGAAAAUGGAGAGAGAGGAGAGGCAUUAUCCAACCAUAUUAAGCAACACCAUCUAACCAUAUCAACAAAUAAAAACAAGAAGCUAGCUAUUCUUCUCUCUCACUCAUGGAACAUACAUACAAGUGGAUAAAUAAAUCGAGAUAUUUAUAAAGAGAGAGACAUAAAUUAAAAAACCAAAGUAUAGCAUAACUAUAUAAAUACAUCAUUCAUUAUAAAUAGAUAGAUGAUGUGGAAGGUGAUAAUAAAAAACCUAACUACCAUAUAAUUCAAAAAAUAAAAAAUCAACAAUUAUCUCUCUACAUAAAUAUACGAGAACACACCAUUGGUUUAAUCUUGUAAAAACUAGCUAAAUUGAGAAGCAAACAUGUUGAGAGGCAUUAUCCAACCAUAUUAAGCAACCCCAUCUAACCAUAUCAACAAAUGAAGACAAGAAGCUAGCUAUUCUUCUCUCUCACUCAUGGAACAUACAUACAUGUGGAUAAAUAAAUUGAGAAAUUUAAAAAGAGAGAGAGACAUAAAUUAGAAAACCUAAGUAUAGCAUAACUAUAUAAAUACAACAUUCAUUAUAAAUAGAUAGAUGAUGUGGAAGGUGAUAAUAAAAAACCUAACUACCAUAUAAUUAAAAAAAAUAAAAAAAUCAACAAUUAUCUCUCUACAUAAAUAUACAAGAACACACCAUUGGUUUAAUCUUGUAAAAACUAGCUAAAUUGAGAAGCAAACAUGUUGAGAGGCAUUAUCCAACCAUAUUAAACAACCCCAUCUAACCAUAUCAACAAAUGAAGACAAGAAGCUAGCUAUUUUUCUCUCUCACUCAUGGUGAAACCGUAGAUCCAAAAUGUGGCUUAAAUUGAGCUAGAAUGAGCAAAUUGAGGCAAUAGGGACAUAAACUAACCUUUUUUAGCAACCUCCUUCCCAGAAAUAAAGAUCAAAACUUCCCCCCUUGUAUUUUGAGAAAUCUGGAACUCCAAAAUCGCCCCCAAUGGAAGGUGGGUGCGAGAUACUAUUCUCGUCGGGGGAGGAUGAAGGGGUAUUUAUACAGAGAUACCACAUGCGGUUGCUUAAGCCAACUGCCUGUGAUAAACGGU